rnacentral:rRNA from 1 species
AGUGAACGCUGGCGGUAGGCCUAACACAUGCAAGUCGAACGGCAGCACAGUAAGAGCUUGCUCUUACGGGUGGCGAGUGGCGGACGGGUGAGGAAUACAUCGGAAUCUACUUUUUCGUGGGGGAUAACGUAGGGAAACUUACGCUAAUACCGCAUACGACCUACGGGUGAAAGCAGGGGAUCUUCGGACCUUGCGCGAUUGAAUGAGCCGAUGUCGGAUUAGCUAGUUGGCGGGGUAAAGGCCCACCAAGGCGACGAUCCGUAGCUGGUCUGAGAGGAGGAUGAGCGACACUGGAACUGAGAGACGGUCCAGACUCCUACGGGAGGCAGCAGUGGGGAAUAUUGGACAAUGGGCGGAAGACUGAUCCAGCCAUACCGCGUGGGUGAAGAAGGCCUUCGGGUUGUAAAGCCCUUUUGUUGGGAAAGAAAAGCAGCAGGUUAAUACCCCGCUGUUCUGACGGUACCCAAAGAAUAAGCACCGGCUAACUUCGUG